rnacentral:rRNA from 1 species
AGUGAACGCUGGCGGUAGGCCUAACACAUGCAAGUCGAACGGCAGCACUGUAAGAGCUUGCUCUUACGGGUGGCGAGUGGCGGACGGGUGAGGAAUACAUCGGAAUCUACUUUUUCGUGGGGGAUAACGUAGGGAAACUUACGCUAAUACCGCAUACGACCUACGGGUGAAAGCAGGGGAUCUUCGGACCUUGCGCGAUUGAAUGAGCCGAUGUCGGAUUAGCUAGUUGGCGGGGUAAAGGCCCACCAAGGCGACGAUCCGUAGCUGGUCUGAGAGGAUGAUCAGCCACACUGGAACUGAGACACGGCCCAGACUCCUACGGGAGGCAGCAGUGGGGAAUAUUGGACAAUGGGCGCAAGCCUGAUCCAGCCAUACCGCGUGGGUGAAGAAGGCCUUCGGGUUGUAAAGCCCUUUUGUUGGGAAAGAAAAGCAGCAGGUUAAUACCCCGCUGUUCUGACGGUACCCAAAGAAUAAGCACCGGCUAACUUCGUG